rnacentral:rRNA from 1 species
UAGGGAAUCUUCCACAAUGGGCGAAAGCCUGAUGGAGCAACGCCGCGUGUGUGAUGAAGGGUUUCGGCUCGUAAAACACUGUUGUAAGAAAAGAAUGACAUUGAGAGUAACUGUUCAAUGUGUGACGGUAUCUUACCAGAAAGGAACGGCUAAAUACGUGCCAGCGG